CUACGGGAUGCUGCAGUGGGGAAUAUUGCGCAAUGGGCGCAAGCCUGAUGCAGCCAUGCCGCGUGUAUGAAGAAGGCCUUCGGGUUGUAAAGUACUUUCAGCGGGGAGGAAGGGAGUAAAGUUAAUACCUUUGCUCAUUGACGUUACCCGCAGAAGAAGCACCGGCUAACUCCGUGCCAGCAGCCGCGGUAAUACGGAGGGUGCAAGCGUUAAUCGGAAUUACUGGGCGUAAAGCGCACGCAGGCGGUUUGUUAAGUCAGAUGUGAAAUCCCCGGGCUCAACCUGGGUACUGCAUCUGAUACUGGCAAGCUCGAGUCUCGUAGAGGGGGGUAGAAUUCCAGGUGUAGCGGUGAAAUGCGUAGAGAUCUGGAGGAAUACCGGUGGCGAAGGCGGCCCCCUGGACGAAGACUGACGCUCAGGUGCGAAAGCGUGGGGAGCAAACAGGAUUAGAUACCCUCGUAGUC
rnacentral:rRNA from 1 species